rnacentral:rRNA from 1 species
AGAGUUUGAUCCUGGCUCAGGAUGAACGCUGGCGGCGUGCUUAACACAUGCAAGUCGAACGAGAACCCGGCUUCGGUCAGGGGGAAGUGGCGAACGGGUGAGUAACACGUUGGUGACCUGCCCCGUGGAGGGGGAUAACGCCUCGAAAGAGGUGCUAAUACCCCGGAUGUCGCGUCAGUAGAGAGACGCAGACUAAAGGAGAAAUCCGCCGCGGGAGGGGCCUGCGGGCUAUCAGCUAGUUGGUGGGGUAACGGCUCACCAAGGCGAAGACGGCUAGGGGGCGUGAGAGCGUGGCCCCCCACAAUGGAACUGAGACACGGUCCAUACUCCUACGGGAGGCAGCAGUGAGGAAUAUUGCCCAAUGGGGGAAACCCUGAGGCAGCAACGCCGCGUGGACGAUGACGGCCUUCGGGUUGUAAAGUCCUUUUCUGGGGGAAGAUGAUGACGGUACCCCAGGAAUAAGUCCCGGCUAACUACGUGCCAGCAGCCGCGGUAAAACGUAGGGGGCGAGCGUUAUCCGGAUUUACUGGGCGUAAAGCGCCCGCAGGCGGCGGGUCAAGUUGGACGUGAAAGCUCCCGGCUUAACUGGGAGAGGUCGUACAAAACUGACCGGCUCGAGGCUGAGAGAGGAGAGCAGAAUUCCCGGUGUAGUGGUGGAAUGCGUAGAUAUCGGGAGGAAUACCAGUGGCGAAAGCGGCUCUCUGGCUCAGAACUGACGCUGAGGGGCGAAAGCGUGGGGAGCGAACGGGAUUAGAUACCCCGGUAGUCCACGCUGUAAACGAUGGAUACUGGGCGUCGGGGGUAAUCAACCCCCCCGGUGCCGAAGCCAACGCGAUAAGUAUCCCGCCUGGGGACUACGGCCGCAAGGUUAAAACUCAAAGGAAUUGACGG